CGUGCCGUCGUUCAACGGAUAGGACACCCAGAGGUUGUGCUAAUCGGGAAUGCAGGUUCGAUUCCUGCCGGUACAUCCA
rnacentral:tRNA from 1 species